rnacentral:rRNA from 1 species
GUUAAGCGAAUAAGCGUACACGGUGGAUGCCUAGGCAAUCAGAGGCGAUGAAGGACGUGCUAAUCUGCGAAAAGCGUCGGUAAGGUGAUAUGAACCGUUAUACCCGACGAUAUCCGAAUGGGGAAACCCAGUAUCCAAUGGAUACUAUCAUUAACUGAAUCCAUAGGUUAAUGAGGCGAACCGGGAGAACUGAAACAUCUCAGUACCCCGAGGAAAAGAAAUCAACCGAGAUUCCCCUAGUAGCGGCGAGCGAACGGGGAGCAGCCCAGAGUCUUAAUCAAUAGCAGUGUCAGGAGAACGGUCUGGAAAGUCCGGCAGUAAAGGGUGAUAGCCCCGUAUCUGAAGAUGCUGUUAUUGUGAACUCGACGAGUAGGGCGGGACACGUGUUAUCCUGUCUGAAUAUGGGGGGACCAUCCUCCAAGGCUAAAUACUCCUGAUUGACCGAUAGUGAACCAGUACCGUGAGGGAAAGGCGAAAAGAACCCCGGCGAGGGGAGUGAAAAAGAACCUGAAACCGUGUACGUACAAGCAGUAGGAGCCUCUUUAUGGGGUGACUGCGUACCUUUUGUAUAAUGGGUCAGCGACUUAUAUUCUGUAGCAAGGUUAACCGUAUAGGGGAGCCGUAGGGAAACCGAGUCUUAACUGGGCGAAUGAGUUGCAGGGUAUAGACCCGAAACCCGGUGAUCUAUCCAUGGGCAGGUUGAAGGUUGGGUAACACUAACUGGAGGACCGAACCGACUAAUGUUGAAAAAUUAGCGGAUGACUUGUGGAUGGGGGUGAAAGGCCAAUCAAACCGGGAGAUAGCUGGUUCUCCCCGAAAGCUAUUUAGGUAGCGCCUCGUGAACUCAUCUUCGGGGGUAGAGCACUGUUUCGACUAGGGGGUCAUCCCGACUUACCAACUCGAUGCAAACUGCGAAUACCGAAGAAUGUUAUCACGGGAGACACACGGCGGGUGCUAACGUCCGUCGUGAAGAGGGAAACAACCCAGACCGCCAGCUAAGGUCCCAAAGUCAUGGUUAAGUGGGAAACGAAGUGGGAAGGCUCAGACAGCCAGGAUGUUGGCUUAGAAGCAGCCAUCAUUUAAAGAAAGCGUAAUAGCUCACUGGUCGAGUCGGCCCGCGCGGAAGAUGUAACGGGGCUAAACCAUGCACCGAAGCUGCGGCAGCGACACAAAGUGUUGUUGGGUAGGGGAGCGUUCUGUAAGCCUGCGAAGGUGUACUGUGAGGUAUGCUGGAGGUAUCAGAAGUGCGAAUGCUGACAUAAGUAACGAUAAUGCGGGUGAAAAACCCGCACGCCGGAAGACCAAGGGUUCCUGUCCAACGUUAAUCGGGGCAGGGUGAGUCGACCCCUAAGGCGAGGCUGAAAAGCGUAGUCGAUGGGAAACGGGUUAAUAUUCCCGUACUGGUGGUAACUGCGAUGGGGGAACGGAGAAGGCUAGGUUGUCCGGGCGACGGUCGUCCCGGUUCAAGCAGGUAGGCAGAGUGAUUAGGCAAAUCCGGUCACUUAAUGCUGAGAUGUGAUGACGAACCACCAAGGUGGUGAAGCAAUUGAUGCCCCGCUUCCAGGAAAAGCCUCUAAGCUUCAGGUUACCAACAAUCGUACCCCAAACCGACACAGGUGGUCAGGUAGAGAAUACUCAGGCGCUUGAGAGAACUCGGGUGAAGGAACUAGGCAAAAUGGUGCCGUAACUUCGGGAGAAGGCACGCUGGCGGUAGGUAAAGUCCCUCGCGGACGGCGCUGAAGCCAGUCGAAGAUACCAGCUGGCUGCAACUGUUUAUUAAAAACACAGCACUGUGCAAACACGAAAGUGGACGUAUACGGUGUGACGCCUGCCCGGUGCUGGAAGGUUAAUUGAUGGGGUUAGCCGUAAGGCGAAGCUCCUGAUCGAAGCCCCAGUAAACGGCGGCCGUAACUAUAACGGUCCUAAGGUAGCGAAAUUCCUUGUCGGGUAAGUUCCGACCUGCACGAAUGGCGUAAUGAUGGCCAGGCUGUCUCCACCCGAGACUCAGUGAAAUUGAACUCGCUGUGAAGAUGCAGUGUACCCGCGGCAAGACGGAAAGACCCCGUGAACCUUUACUAUAGCUUGACACUGAACAUUGAGCCUUGAUGUGUAGGAUAGGUGGGAGGCUUUGAAGUGUGGACGCCAGUCUGCAUGGAGCCAACCUUGAAAUACCACCCUUUAACGUUUGAUGUUCUAACCUAGGCCCAUAAACUGGGUCGGGGACCGUGUCUGGUGGGUAGUUUGACUGGGGCGGUCUCCUCCUAAAGAGUAACGGAGGAGCACGAAGGUUGGCUAAGCAUGGUCGGACAUCAUGCGGUUAGUGCAAAGGCAUAAGCCAGCUUGACUGCGAGAGUGACGGCUCGAGCAGGUACGAAAGUAGGUCUUAGUGAUCCGGUGGUUCUGAAUGGAAGGGCCAUCGCUCAACGGAUAAAAGGUACUCCGGGGAUAACAGGCUGAUACCGCCCAAGAGUUCAUAUCGACGGCGGUGUUUGGCACCUCGAUGUCGGCUCAUCACAUCCUGGGGCUGAAGUAGGUCCCAAGGGUAUGGCUGUUCGCCAUUUAAAGUGGUACGCGAGCUGGGUUUAGAACGUCGUGAGACAGUUCGGUCCCUAUCUGCCGUGGGCGUUGGAAGAUUGAGAGGGGUUGCUCCUAGUACGAGAGGACCGGAGUGAACGCACCACUGGUGUUCGGGUUGUCAUGCCAAUGGCAUUGCCCGGUAGCUAAGUGCGGAAGAGAUAACCGCUGAAAGCAUCUAAGCGGGAAACUUGCCUCGAGAUGAGUCUUCCCUGUCGCUUUAAGCGACCUAAAGGAACGUUUAAGACUAAGACGUUGAUAGGCUGGGUGUGUAAGCGUAGCGAUACGUUGAGCUAACCAGUACUAAUGAACCGUGAGGCUUAACC